AGGCUCCGGGGUGUCACACGUAUGAUUGCAAAUCAUAAGAAGCAGGGUAGUUCCUGCCGGGGCUUC
rnacentral:tRNA from 1 species